UACGAAGGGGGCUAGCGUUACUCGGAUUUACUGGGCGUAAAGGGCGCGUAGGCGGUUUGUACAGUCAGACGUGAAAUUCCUGGGCUCAACCUGGGGGCUGCGUUUGAUACGUGCAGACUUGAGUUCGGAAGAGGGUCGUGGAAUUCCCAGUGUAGAGGUGAAAUUCGUAGAUAUUGGGAAGAACACCGGUGGCGAAGGCGGCGACCUGGUCCGAUACUGACGCUGAGGCGCGAAAGCGUGGGGAGCAAACAGG
rnacentral:rRNA from 1 species